rnacentral:rRNA from 1 species
GAUGAACGCUGGCGGCGUGCUUAACACAUGCGAGUCGAACGGAAAGGCCCAAGCUUGCUUGGGUACUCGAGUGGCGAACGGGUGAGUAACACGUGGGUGAUCUGCCCUGCACUUCGGGAUAAGCCUGGGAAACUGGGUCUAAUACCGGAUAGGACCACAUUUUGGAUGGUGUGGUGGAAAGUUUUUCGGUGUGGGAUGAGCUCGCGGCCUAUCAGCUUGUUGGUGGGGUAAUGGCCUACCAAGGCGUCGACGGGUAGCCGGCCUGAGAGGGUGUACGGCCACAUUGGGACUGAGAUACGGCCCAGACUCCUACGGGAGGCAGCAGUGGGGAAUAUUGCACAAUGGGCGCAAGCCUGAUGCAGCGACGCCGCGUGGGGGAUGACGGCCUUCGGGUUGUAAACUCCUUUCGCUAGGGACGAAGCGUUUUUGUGACGGUACCUGGAGAAGAAGCACCGGCUAACUACGUG